rnacentral:snRNA from 1 species
GCACUCUCGCUUCUCUUCAGUUGUCGAAUAAAUCUUUCGCCUUUUAGUAAAGAUUUCCGUGGAGAGGAGUACUAUGAUGAGUCUAAGUUAAUUUUUUUGUACCCUCGACCUGUUAGGUUGGGC